GACAUUUUUGAAAGAAACUGGGCCUGUUGAAAGGCCCAUUACUGUUACAUCUGAUUCUGAUAGACCUACCCGCUUCUUCUCGGUCUGGCGCUUUUCUUCUUCUUUCCCCCGCUUCUCCGUUCUUCAACCUCCACGGAUCCUCGCACGGCUGAUCACAUUGAAGACGCAGAAAAAUGGGAAUUAUUGAAAGAAUUAAAGAAAUCGAGGCCGAGAUGGCUCGGACUCAGAAAAAUAAGGCCACGGAAUAUCAUCUUGGUCAGCUCAAGGCAAAGAUAGCAAAGUUGAGGACGCAGUUGUUAGAGCCUCCAAAAGGUUCAAGUGGAGGUGGAGAGGGUUUUGAAGUUACAAAAUAUGGCCACGGGCGUGUUGCACUCAUAGGAUUUCCAAGUGUGGGGAAGUCCACACUUUUAACAAUGUUGACAGGCACUCAAUCGGAAGCUGCCUCCUAUGAGUUUACAACGCUGACUUGCAUCCCUGGGAUCAUACACUACAAUGAUACCAAAAUUCAGCUGCUUGAUCUUCCUGGAAUUAUUGAAGGUGCGUCUGAAGGAAAGGGGCGUGGUAGACAGGUUAUUGCUGUUUCCAAGUCUUCAGACUUAGUCUUGAUGGUUCUUGAUGCCUCAAAAAGUGAGGGCCAUCGCCAGAUUCUAACAAGAGAGUUGGAAGCAGUAGGUUUGCGUUUGAACAAGAGACCACCUCAAAUAUAUUUCAAGAAGAAAAAAACUGGUGGUAUUUCAUUUAAUAGUACCCUUCCUUUAACUCAUGUUGACGAGAAGCUGUGCUAUCAAAUUCUACACGAGUACAAAAUUCACAAUGCAGAGGUACUCUUUCGAGAGGAUGCCACGGUUGAUGAUCUUAUUGAUGUAAUUGAGGGGAACCGCAAGUACAUGAAGUGUGUAUAUGUCUACAACAAGAUUGAUGUAGUUGGUAUCGACGACGUAGACAAGUUAGCCCGUCAGCCCAAUUCAGUUGUCAUUAGUUGUAAUCUCAAGUUGAACUUAGACAGACUACUAUCUCGGAUGUGGGAGGAGAUGGGCCUUGUUAGGGUUUAUACCAAGCCUCAAGGGCAGCAACCUGAUUUCUCAGAUCCAGUUGUUCUUUCUGCUGAUAGAGGUGGCUGUACAGUGGAGGAUUUCUGCAAUCAUAUCCACAGGAGUUUGGUUAAAGAUGUCAAAUACGUGCUUGUAUGGGGUACAAGUGCCAGGCAUUAUCCCCAGCAUUGUGGCCUUGGUCAUGUUCUUAAUGACGAGGAUGUGGUUCAGAUUGUUAAGAAAAAGGAAAAGGAAGAGGGAGGAAGAGGUCGUUUCAAGUCGCAUACAACUGGUCCAGCUCGAAUAUCCGACAGAGAAAAGAAGGCUCCUUUAAAGACAUAAUUACAGCAUGUGAUGAUAAGUUAAUCUGGAGUGGAGUGUUUGUUUGAAGCUUGAUGCAGAGCUCUACUAUUCGCUGAAGAUGUGUGACAUAUCCGUUUGGUCCUCUUACUUUUGUUUGAAAGAACUGCCUUCCGUGUCUGCUCAAUGGUCGUCUUCAGUUGGCGUCGGCUGUGAAGUUUUUAUGUUCUCCAACUUUGGUUUCUUUUCUGGAGGUUUUAAGUGUUUGGUUUUUGGUCUAUUCUCUUUGUAUUGGAAUAUUAUUGUCUACUUUUGUUUUUCUCAGUUUCUCUUUCCUUUUUUUUUUUUUUUAAGGUUAUUAUAUUUUUAGCAUUAGUCUCUUUUUCGUUGAAAAAGUAUGGUUCCUCUACCAAUUAUAUAUAUAUAUAUAGUGAUAUAAGAAAUUAACCA